UGGCUGACGGGUGAGUAAUGCUUAGGAAUCUGCCUAGUAGUGGGGGAUAACUUGGGGAAACCCAAGCUAAUACCGCAUACGACCUACGGGUGAAAGGGGGCUUCUAGCUCUCGCUAUUAGAUGAGCCUAAGUCGGAUUAGCUGGUUGGUGGGGUAAAGGCCUACCAAGGCGACGAUCUGUAGCUGGUCUGAGAGGAUGAUCAGCCACACUGGGACUGAGACACGGCCCAG
rnacentral:rRNA from 1 species